GUUUUUGCAGCGCCGCCUAAUUCUGUUAAUUCCUCUAAAAUUCCCCUUUAUGAUGAAGAUUAGCCUUAAAAAUGAAUUGAGGAGGAACAAUGUUCACCAGCGGAGCCUUUCUUGAAAAUGCAAACUCAUAUAAUGAUUAACAUCAGAAGGUGCACCUUAAUGGCCAAUAUCGAGCUCCGGUAAUGAAUGUGAGCG